ACAGAUGGGAGCUUGCUCCCUGAUGUUAGCGGCGGACGGGUGAGUAACACGUGGGUAACCUGCCUGUAAGACUGGGAUAACUCCGGGAAACCGGGGCUAAUACCGGAUGGUUGUUUGAACCGCAUGGUUCAGACAUAAAAGGUGGCUUCGGCUACCACUUACAGAUGGACCCGCGGCGCAUUAGCUAGUUGGUGAGGUAACGGCUCACCAAGGCGACGAUGCGUAGCCGACCUGAGAGGGUGAUCGGCCACACUGGGACUGAGACACGGCCCAGACUCCUACGGGAGGCAGCAGUAGGGAAUCUUCCGCAAUGGACGAAAGUCUGACGGAGCAACGCCGCGUGAGUGAUGAAGGUUUUCGGAUCGUAAAGCUCUGUUGUUAGGGAAGAACAAGUGCCGUUCAAAUAGGGCGGCACCUUGACGGUACCUAACCAGAAAGCCACGGCUAACUACGUGCCAGCAGCCGCGGUAAUACGUAGGUGGCAAGCGUUGUCCGGAAUUAUUGGGCGUAAAGGGCUCGCAGGCGGUUUCUUAAGUCUGAUGUGAAAGCCCCCGGCUCAACCGGGGAGGGUCAUUGGAAACUGGGGAACUUGAGUGCAGAAGAGGAGAGUGGAAUUCCACGUGUAGCGGUGAAAUGCGUAGAGAUGUGGAGGAACACCAGUGGCGAAGGCGACUCUCUGGUCUGUAACUGACGCUGAGGAGCGAAAGCGUGGGGAGCGAACAGGAUUAGAUACCCUGGUAGUCCACGCCGUAAACGAUGAGUGCUAAGUGUUAGGGGGUUUCCGCCCCUUAGUGCUGCAGCUAACGCAUUAAGCACUCCGCCUGGGGAGUACGGUCGCAAGACUGAAACUCAAAGGAAUUGACGGGGGCCCGCACAAGCGGUGGAAGCAUGUGGUUUUAAUUCGAAGCAACGCGAAGAACCUUACCAGGUCUUGACAUCCUCUGACAAUCCUAGAGAUAGGACGUCCCCUUCGGGGGCAGAGUGACAGGUGGUGCAUGGUUGUCGUCAGCUCGUGUCGUGAGAUGUUGGGUUAAGUCCCGCAACGAGCGCAACCCUUGAUCUUAGUUGCCAGCAUUCAGUUGGGCACUCUAAGGUGACUGCCGGUGACAAACCGGAGGAAGGUGGGGAUGACGUCAAAUCAUCAUGCCCCUUAUGACCUGGGCUACACACGUGCUACAAUGGACAGAACAAAGGGCAGCGAAACCGCGAGGUUAAGCCAAUCCCACAAAUCUGUUCUCAGUUCGGAUCGCAGUCUGCAACUCGACUGCGUGAAGCUGGAAUCGCUAGUAAUCGCGGAUCAGCAUGCCGCGGUGAAUACGUUCCCGGGCCUUGUACACACCGCCCGUCACACCACGAGAGUUUGUAACACCCGAAGUCGGUGAGG
rnacentral:rRNA from 1 species